AGUGGGCGGGCACUCGCGCCCGGCUGAAAGAUGGCCGCCGCCGCCCGGCAGCCACCGCCCCGGAGGUUACUCUAGGGCCUGCGGCUUCCGCCCGUGCCCGCGGACCACCGCCGUCUCCUUACCAUGAAGCCAGUGAGUCGCCGCACCCUGGACCGAAUUUAUUCAGCGGUAGGUCCCGGGCCUGGAGGGGCUCCACGGAGUCGACUCCUGGGGCCCGCGGGUGAAAGCCCGCUAUUUUUUCAGCGCCCAGAAACUCCAAAAUCCAUUGCUGAAUUAAGCCUUUCACUCCCUCACCUCGACUCCGCCUCUUCCGGGAGGACACGCUCUUCCGCUUCUUACUUGCUCCUCGCGGUCGUAUUGCUCUCCUGGGGAUACGUCAUCUAUGCAUCAACUGUAGCUGCACGACGACAGCUAAGGAAGAAAUACCCAAAAUCUUCGGG